ensembl:lncRNA
CCGCCCCCGUUCCUGCUCCAGCAGCACAAUAUGAUCCACCGGCAAGGAGAGAUGCCAAUAAGGCGUCCGAUAAGAUAAGUCUUAUAAAACAUAUAGGUUUAUGAUAGUUAAGACUGAGCUAACAGAUGAGAAUCCUAGUCAUUGGCCAAGCAGCAUUGUACCUAAUACAAGUUUCUGUGUAUUCAUUUGGGCCCUAACUUGGGCAGGCGGCUGGCGUAAAGCUCACAUGUAGCGGUGGAGCUCAGGUGGCUUUUGGUGGAAAGAUUUAUCGUAAUAAAUAGUGGUUUCUCUUCAAUUAAUACUAACAGAGUAGUUCUGCUUCUUGUUAUCAAAAUGAUUAAAUACAAAACACCAGAGUAGUUUUGGCAUGAUUCCAACUAUUUUUGUUCUGUUUCUUUGGUUGUGUUAUAUUUGAAGAAAGAAAAUGCUUACUCAUAUUUCAUCUGAUGUGUUAUAGCCACCUAGUAUUUUGAAAAUGUCAAAAAUCUCCUCUUUGGCCAUUCUAAUAUUCUUAACUAUAUGGUAUAUUCUGGUAAUACUUUGAUGUCUGACUUUAUAGAGUAAGAACAAAUGUUCUCAAUUCAUUUAAAUUUUUUAUUCUCAUGUCUGGAAAAAUAAUUUUUUGGGAACUCUCUACUUCCCAGAAUUCAGAAAAAGCUCAUUAAGAUUUUGGUCUCUUGAAUAAAGAAUUAAUAACAAAUUGAAAUUAGGUAGGCUCCAGUGAUCUAUAUUUUGAAGUUAGGACAUGUGUCAGGGGUGCCGCUAGACUCCACAAAAUCCACAGAGUCCCAGAUCUUAUCUAUUUCCAUCCCUAGCUUCUGUGCAAAAGAACAGGGCACGCCUGUCAAUGGAGUUUGCCCAAAAUAUACCUUCCCAAAACUUGGGAGAAUCUAGCUGCAGUGUGAAGCAAACCAAGGUGGACAGUGCAAGGCCAGGACCUCCAUCUUGAGAGGAGGCAUCUGAAGUCUUCAUAUUCCUGUGCUGUCAGUCUCGUUUGCUUUCCCCUUUUCACUUUAUAUUGUCAAUUCCAAAGGAAAACAACAUCUACAAACACUGAGGAUAUUGUAACAUAACAUCGCUCACUUCCAUUCCGUUUGCAAAUGUUUACAAGAAUGGAUUCCUCUGAAUAUGCUUGGCUUAUUUCUAGUUGCUGAUGAAUAUUCCAAAUGACACAUUUGGAUUCCUUCCAUUAAUUUUGGAUCAUUUUUAAUAAUAAAGCACAGGAAAAUUAUGGAAAGAAAUGCAAUGCAAUGGGAAACUUUUUAGUCAAAUAACAAAUGUUAAACAUUUAUAUCCUUUGUUGUCAGGGCAUUAGAUUUCAUGGUACAAUAAGCCAUGGUUUUCAUUAUUACAUUUCCAUUAUUGCUAUUGAACGUCUAAGCUCUCCUUAGAAUGAUUACUUUGUGAACUGCUUCAUCAAUACCUAACUUCUAUGAAGCACUGUGGAAUGCUUAAAAAAUAUGAGGUUCUAAUAAUAGUAGAUAAUUAUUAAGUCAUCACAUUCAAAUCCUGUUGUCCUGACAUCUUAAUAAAAUUAUGCUGCUUUUGGAGAAGGGUCCAUAGAAAAUAAGCCUCCAAAGAUUUUCAUGUGUAAAGAAUGCCAACAUUUGAUUUACAUUUAUUAACUUUAGGAGGCAAAAUAAUCUCUAAUGGUACAAGACAUUGAAAAUAUGCAAUGUUGCUACGGAGUUAAAGCUGCUUCCAGUGUGACAGCAGCUGACUUAACGAGCCAGUUCCAGUAAUAAUUGAGUUUCUGUGCUUUUCUUUUAAUUUUGCUACCUGACGCUACCUGAGAGCAGUCGACUUUAUUUCAGAAUCCCAUUAGGUAGCAUUUUAAGAUCCUAUUUCCUGGGGUUUUAAAAUCUAAUUGUCAGUCAAUGCACUACAGCAAGUCUGACUUGCCUUUGAUUCUCAGGGCUCUUCGUGGUGGGAAAAAACAGAAGAAGUAUGCUCCAUCAUCCUGUCAAGCAGGAACCAGAAACUGAACACCAGUGUCUAGACCAGACAGGCUGACAACUGAUGUCCUUAAGAUUUAUGAAGAAAUAUAAGUGUGUAAUGGCUGUAUCAGGCUAAGCUAUGCCAUUCAGGGUUCUUAGAUCUACUUACGAGCCUUUGCUUUGUCUCAGACAAAUAUCACCUACACAGAUGUAAUUUGACCUAAGAGAAUAUUGGACUUGGAAUUUGAAAGGAGAUGUGUUCAUCUUUCCUUAGAUAUUUUGUGAUGAUACAUGUCCUCC